GCCUGGCCAAGCUGGUUUUAGCUGGUUAAGCUGGAAGUAGCUGGAAGUAGCUGGUUUUAGCUGGAAGUAACUGGAAGUAGGCUGGUUUUAGCUGGUUAUGCUGGAAGUAGCUGGUUUUAGCUGGAAGUAACUGGUUUUAGCUGGUCUCCCAGCCUGGCCAGGCUGGGUUAGCUGGUUAAGCUGGAAGUAGCUGGCUUUUGCUGGUCUCCCAGCCUGGCCAGGCUGGUUUUAGCUGGAAGUAGCUGGUUUUAGUUUGUCUCCCAGCCUGACCAAGCUGGUGUCCAUUUGACCUAAUUACAAAUUAAUAAGUUUGUUUCACUUACUGACAAGGUUCAAUUCAAGGUAAGUUUAGUAUCAUAGUCAGGUAGGCUAGAUGAUACAUCUUAAAUUAUUCUAGUUGUUAAUGAUAAUAUAUCUGAGAAGAGUCUAAAAUAAAUUGUAGUAUAAAGUAUAGCAUAAAAUCAAGCUAGCACUCAAAAAUCAGCAUAGAACUCAAAUUAGAUUAAAUUAUUGUGUGAAGAAAUACAUUCACCAUAGUUGUAUGACCAUAUAUAGUCAGCUGUUUUAUUUUUAAUGAGUGUUUCGGUAUUAGAUAGACUUUUACACAAAAUAUAAUGAAACAAACAGUCUUUAUAAAUAGCAAUCACCUACAAUUAAAAAACACUAGGAGCUUUAACAAGAAAUGCUUAAAGCAUAAUCUGAUCACAUGGAUCACGUGGUGGUUUGACACAAAAGUACAGCAUAUUGCUGUAAAUUUUAAAUCUACAGAGGAGGGAUUUUCUUCAACGGUCGACAUUCGGGAGCGGCAAUAAGUACGAUUCACAACUGCGGUAAGUAAUUUAUUUCACUUUUAAUUUUUCAUGCUUGGUAACUGCACUAGUGUAUUUACUACAUUAGUGGUAACCGCAGAUUAACAAAUCCUUUGUCCGCGGGGCGCGAGGGAGACUUGUGCUGGGUUUAAGGAGCGCGGUCGCGGGAGGAUUUCACACAUUCCCCGCCUCAAAGCGGCUACAGGCGGAAAAUCUCUGGGUUCCUACGGUAAUAAUUACACGCUUCAUUGACAACAGUUGUGAUUUACGGGAACGUCGUGUUGUUCAGCACACUUUCUCGUGAUUAUUUUAUAAUGUAAAUUAAAUUUGCACAAGUAGUCAUCUGUAAACAGGGGCGCCGAAAUGAAACGCGCGACGUUGCUAAAGCCUCGCAACUCGCGGUCAUCCCGCGCACGGAGGAUGUAAACUGUCACGUAAACUCUGAACGGUGCUUUUAAAGCGGUUAACGUAAGCAGCGAGAUGUGCGAGAACCUUUGGUAAUUUGCUAAUUCGCUUAUUGUUUGAUUGUAAUGCUUUUUGCUAACUUUGGUUUAAAGAAUGAGUUAAUCCAGCCCAUCUUCCUGUCUGGCCUUUUCGCAGCAUAUAUUCACUCCGGAGUAGCCUUACCAGGAGACAGACGGAGAUUUGGAGUUCAUUCAAAGAUAUUUAAGAGAAACAAAGAAGUCGAAAGGAAAAGUGCCAUCUAAAACAACAGGGCAAAUGGUACAGAAGAAACCGGUUGAAGUGAACCCAAGUUGCCACUCUUCUUUGCAAAGUGAAGGAUUUUCAGUGGAAUUUCUGAAAUUCUGUUUCAGUGACUGGCAGAAACAAAAGGAGCCUGAAAGAAGAGAGAGAGAGAAGAGGGAGAAACAAGUGGGGCAUUACAUAUCCCCAAAAAAUACAAGAUAUAAUAAAAAAGAAAAGAAAAAUGAAAAUGCAUAAUAUGUUUUGAAUUCUGUUAUUGAUCAUCUUCACCAUUAAUUGUUAAUAUAGUUUUAGAAUUGUAAUCAUUCCAAUUAUUUUGUAAAUAUUUUGUAAAUAUUUGUUAUUAAAGGGGCUGUAGGAUCAAAUAAGAAUUGUUUGAAUGGUUCCUUGUGGUCCUGCAGAUUAUUAAAUGUAAACAUAUUACUUACUUGUCGCAUUAUUUGUCAGGAAAAUUGGGGCAGACACUAUGUAAUCAAUCAGUCAUCAAACAAACAUUUUGACCAGCUAAGACCAGCCUGACCAGCUUAAACCAGCUAAGACCAGCCUGGCUGACCAGCUAAAACCAGCUAAGACCAGCCUGACCAUCUUAAACCAGCUAAGACCAGACUGACCAGCUAAAACCAGCUAAGACCAGCCUGACCAGCUUAAACCAGCUAAGACCAGACUGACCAUCUUAAACCAGCUAAGACCAGACUGACCAGCUAAAACCAGCUAAGACCAGCCUGACCAGCUUAAACCAGCUAAGACCAGACUGACCAGCUAAGACCAGCCUGGCUGACCAGCUAAAACCAGCUAAGACCAGCCUGACCAGCUUAAACCAGCUAAGACCAGCCUGGCUGACCAGCUAAAACCAGCUAAGACCAGCCUGACCAGCUUAAACCAGCUAAGACCAGCCAGGCUGACCAGCUAAAACCAGCUUGACCAGCUAAAAAAAAGUGGUCAAAACCCCUCUAAAACCAGCCUGAUAAAUCAGCUAUGACCAGCAUGGGAGACCAGCUUAAACCAGCUUGACCAGCUUAAGCUGGUUUAAGCUGUUUUUUUAGCAGGGUGUGAUAUAGGUCAAAUAAUAAAUCAACCUUUGUCACCAUGUAAAAUUAAAAUUAUACAGCCAUCAGUGCAUCACUGGUGUGAGGGAACACAAAAUCUCACAAUGACAGCAACACAGGUUUAAUUAAUUUGCACGGGGCUAUUUAUUUUACCUGUAAUCAAAUAUCCAAAAGGUCUGUUGCAGGCCUUUAUUGGCAUAAUAAAUUAUUAUUGGCAAAAAUAUUCAGACCCUUCACAGAUAUGACACAUUUAAAUAUAAACGUACAUACACACACACACACACACACAUAUAUAUAUAUAUUAUAAAUAAAACAAGUCUAACAUAAAAUGUAUAAAUACUGCCAUCUGUUAGAUUUAUUUAAAUUUGAUCAACUCAAUUUUAGUUUUGGCCCGGCUCGUAGAUCUUUCCUGAUCUCGCUUUCUCCCUCAUUGCUUCCUGUCAAUUAACUGUCCUAUCCAAAUAAAGGCUAAAAAGCUAAAAUCUUUUUUUUAAAAAUGCAGUAUCUUUGAAAUAGUUCAGUCUCACACUAUGUACAAAUUAGCAUUGUCUUAAAAAUUCAGACUUUGACUGCAGCUGGCUUGAUAUCUACUUAUUGUCAAUUGAAUACAGCGGCUUGCAUUUAAUUACCUGUUUGCAUCCAGGCCAGGUUGUACGGGGGUGCUAGAGGUGCUGGAUCCUCAAAAGAAAGCAAGAGCACCUUCAGAUGAAGCUGUAGAAAUAGGCAAAAAAUAUAUUUCGCCAACACUCCAGUAGGCCUAUAUUUUUGCAUUUGCACUCUGAAGAGGUUUAAAGGUUUCUAUAUAUAAUGUGUUUUUACAGCAUUGAGCAAUGUAGCAAAUCAAAACUUUGUGAGAUCUUGAUGAACUUAAGUGAGUGGCAGUUUUUUUGUGAUUAUAAAGGGAGCGCUAUUUGCACACUUUCUUGGGUCUGAUCUAUGAUCCAUUCAGAAUUUUAAUAAGUUUUGUUUCUCAUGAUGCUAAGACCAGUAGCACUUACACGCUGCAAAGUUUCAGAACUGACUUCCCAUAUAGCCUUUAUAUGUGGAUGUCACUAUCAUGAUAAUGACAAUGAUAGUGAUAACCAUUACAAUGGACAGGGCAUAAAUAUGUCAAAAAUAAAUGUGCAUUAAGACUAGAGCACCCUCAAUAAUUUUAGAAGCGCCCUGUCUCUGCAUUGUUCCAGAGACGUGUUCUGACAAAUAAUGCAUUUUUAAUACUGUAAGGGUGGGUUUAGGGUUUGGGUAGGUGUAGAUGUUCAUAAGGCCCCAAACCACAUUAAUAUGGAAGCACAAUUUGAUAGGUAGCAUUUUUUGCUGUCGAAUUAUGUUACCUACACACAACGGCUCAAAUUCUCAAUUGAAUGUGCGGGAGAAGCAGGACUUCUCAUUUGGAAAAAAAAGUGUAAAAUCCUUUUUUUUUUUCUAUAUUCAUUUGUGCAUUUGGAAAAUGUUUAUUAAACAAACAAGCCAUUCAAAAAAACUCUGAAAAAAUGUCAAUACUUUAAUUUUCACCCAGCAUUGUGUGUGUAAGGUUCUAAUUUUGAUUUUGGGGUUCAACAUAGCAUUUAAAACUGCAAUUUUAAAUGCUAGCAACUGCUUUUUUUUUUUUUUUCAUUUUUUCGUCAUGGCUAAAAAAAGGAAAAAACAAUGGAUGCAGAAGUACUGCUUUCAUUGCCACAAUAGCUUGUUCGGUUAAAAUUUUUCUAAAUACCGUAAGUCACUAACAAACUAUUCUGACAGCUAUUAAAUAUAUUCUUUUUUCUAAUCCUGAGGUUCUGUCAGGACCACUGUCGUUAAAAUGAUAGACAGUUAGCAUACAGUUUGGUUUGGCGGCAUGGUUCUGUUCUGGGCAAAAAACUCCCUGCCCAUCCAUGCAGCAUGUCAUGAAUGAGCAGGGAGAGAAGCAAUAAUAACCUCCAUCAAAGAGUUUCUUAAAUCAAUUGAUAUUUACAGUCUGUGUCAAUAUUCUUCAUGCUAUGAAGUGCUACAAAUCUACUUUAAAAAUACAAUGAACAGCAGCGUGAUUUGCUAAAGCAGCAUACUUUGUGGGCAUCCUAUCACACGCACGCUGCAUUUGUGGAUGCAGUCAGUUUUGAUGCAAAAGAUGAGGUAAUUUGAUGUCAUUUGACCAUUUACGACACUAAAAUUUCCUAUUUUAUACUAAAAGCGUUAUUUUGCUUAUCAGAAAUACAUACUCUAUUUAAAUGUUGCUUGAAAUUGGGGUAGAAUUAAACAAAUGGCAAAGCUCAGCAUUUUGUUUGCGUACCAGCAGGUACAUACAAGCAGGUCUAGCAACGAACAUGAUACUGAACACUAGAUAAGCCUUAACAAGCAUGCAAAAUCCCAAUAUUGUGAUAGUGUAAAACAAGACCUUCUGAAAUAGCAUAGACUGGGGCAGCAUGCCCUUUACAAAAGAAGAAAAGCAGCGAAGGUGUGCUCUUCUUUAUAAGAAGCUGAGAAGAGCAGCAUGCCCCUUAAUGCAGUACAGCAUAUGGUGCAACAGGCAUGUUGCCAUUAUCCACAUAAUUGUUAGGUUUAAUAACGAUUUUUUUUUUUUUAGUAGCAAAAUCUAAAUACAGUGCGUUAACUAUCAUAUCAACCAUGUUACCGAUACACUAGAUAGCUUUUUUAAUCAUCAGCAUAUCACCAACUAAAACACAGUAUUUUGGAAUAAAAGUUGGAUAAAUUUAAUGAAACUGCAUUCCAAAUACUAAAACAGCAAGCCUGUUUCACAUCCGACAGCCUUGACAACAGAUUUAAAAUAAGCCUAGCUGUGGUAAGUUUAACUAGUAAUAUUACCAGCGUGUCAUAAUACAACCAAUAGCCUAAGCAACGGCAUGCCUAGCAAACAAACGUUACUGAAUAACUAGCCUUAAACAUGAGCAAUAUUUAACGAUAGCAUAUUUGCCAUAUUUGCCAUGCAUCUCCUAAUGCAGGCACAUUAGCAGAACUCAGCUAAAAUUGCGGGCAUUGCGGGCAAAGUGUUUACGCAGUGCUUGCUCAGGUCACUUCCGAGUCCAUCAGCUUGUAUCAAUCAACACGGCGAAUUUGGUUCGGUUCAGGAACUUGAAUCUGGUGAGAAACUCUGUGGGAAAUGAACACCUGUUGCAAAAUCCUGAUUGAACGCUUAUAGAGAACGAAAUCGCUGACUAUCUGCUUUGCUCCUGAGCAAGCGACAAAGCUGCCGAAUAAUACUGGAUCGAGCUUAUAUAGGAAUGGCAUGUGUCGUAUUCCUAUAGGUAGAUGUGAUCAGCUGAGAUUCAGCUGAUGCGAGCUUGACUCACUUGACCUGCCAGAACUAACACUAUAUGCUUAAUUUGUUUUAGGUUAAAUAACAUUAUUUACAUCUGUUUUUUUACUUGAGUUUUAUAUACAAGUUUUAAAAAAAAACAUCUCAACCAAGCAUUGUUUCUUAUCUUUAAAUGGGGAAACAAAAUUAAAAUCUAAUAAUUUAUUAUCCAAUUUAAAUGUUUUUGUUUGACUACAACGAACAACAAAAAAAAUGACUUUAUAAAUAUAUUUCAUGUAAAUCAGGGAUGUCCAAACUCAGUCCUGGACAGUCACUGUCCUGCAGUGUUUAGCUCCAACCCAAAUCAAACACACCUGAAUCAGCUAAUCAAGGUCUUACUAACU